GAUUGCAGGCUGCAACUCGCCUGCAUGAAGUUGGAAUUGCUAGUAAUCGCGAAUCAGAAUGUCGCGGUGAAUACGUUCCCGGGCCUUGUACACACCGCCCGUCACACCAUGAGAGCCGAUAACACCCGAAGCCUGUGAGCUAACCGUAAGGGGGCAGCAGUCGAAGGUGGGGUUGGUGAUUGGGGUGAAGUCGUAACAAGGUAUC
rnacentral:rRNA from 1 species